GUCUAGUGCUGUACAGACUAAGAUGAGGAGAGACCCGCCGAUGGCAGAAGUUGAUCUCUGGGAUGACUGUUCCAUGCAGGCAUUGGACCAACUCUAUGCAUACUUAAAUAUUGAGGGGCCCAAGGUGGCAGAAUUAACCUGUGGGUGGACUCUAACAUGCAGGCAACUAGGCAAUGAAUUAGCGCUGUUAAGACAUGGAUGACAAGAUACCAAAGGUGGCAGAAAUGAUCUGGAGGUCGACAAUUGCAUGCAUGCAGGCACUUUGUUUGCUGUGAAACAUUACAUUAAAAGAUAGCU